rnacentral:rRNA from 1 species
AGGCAGCAGUAGGGAAUUUUGGGCAAUGGGCGAAAGCCUGACCCAGCAACGCCGCGUGAAGGAUGAAGUAUUUCGGUAUGUAAACUUCGAAAGAAUGGGAAGAAUAAAUGACGGUACCGUUUAUAAGCUCCGGCUAACUACGUGCCAGCAGCCGCGGUAAUACGUAGGGAGCAAGCGUUGUUCGGAUUUACUGGGCGUAAAGGGCGCGUAGGCGGCGCGGUAAGUCAGCUGUGAAAUCUCCGAGCUUAACUCGGAACGGCCAGCUGAUACUGCAGUGCUAGAGUGCAGAAGGGGCAAUCGGAAUUCUUGGUGUAGCGGUGAAAUGCGUAGAUAUCAAGAGGAACACCUGAGGUGAAGACGGGUUGCUGGGCUGACACUGACGCUGAGGCGCGAAAGCCAGGGGAGCAAACAGGAUUAGAUACCCCGGUAG